AUCUCCAAUGAAAGCAAAAUGUGUGAUAAAUGUUGUUGGCCAUGGAAACUGCAAAGAGCAAUAGAUGAUUCAUCUUCAGUGAAAGCAUGUGUCACAGAGAACAUUAUCUUUCUCUUCUUGGUUGACCAUUCUUCCUUGUCGGGCAAUUGUUUCUAUCUACUUCAUCAAUUAUGUAUGCUAUCCUUUAAUCGAUAGGAACUUCUCAUCAGUUGCUGGGUUUGGUUGCCCAAAUCGACUUGGCUUUGCCAAAACUCCUCUUCUCUAGAAGCCUAGCUGGCAAGGCAUCCCACUGGCAGUAGGGUGGUCAACCUUGCCUCAGUUUCGUGACAUGCUAUCUUUCCCCUCUGCAUUCCAUAGUCAAGGAACGACACAGUGGUUACAUCAUAUAGUCAGCAUUUUACCUCUGAGAGGUGACAACUAGAUCUUUGUCGCGGCAAAUGCAUCAACUUGCUUCAGCAAAUAAGAUUUAUAAAGACAAACUUCUUCAGUGGUGUAUCCUGCAUGUAUCCGGAAGCUCUUGGAUCUGAAUAAUGCAAUGACUAUGUUGUCUCCCUGGCUAAAUUGGUUUUCGGCCAGGAGCAUGAAUUGUUGCUUCAGUGGGAGAUUCAAUUUAGGGCCAAGGUGCGAAAAGAACGCUUGAUUUCUUUUUUUGGGAGGCUUUAGUUCAACAUAGCUGAAUUUUGGUAGACUGCAGAUGUUAGAACCAAACUUUUCCCAUCUUCAUGUGCUAGAAAAGAAUUUACAGUUCAUGAAUGCAAAGCUCGAUAGAUAGUAUGCAAAAGCUCGUGGCUAGUCUGCACAAACUA